rnacentral:rRNA from 2 species
GACUCUCGGCAACGGAUAUCUCGGCUCUCGCAUCGAUGAAGAACGUAGUGAAAUGCGAUACCUGGUGUGAAUUGCAGAAUCCCGCGAACCAUCGAGUCUUUGAACGCAAGUUGCGCCCGAGGCCACUCGGCCGAGGGCACGCCUGCCUGGGCGUCA